rnacentral:rRNA from 1 species
AGUGAACGCUGGCGGUAGGCCUAACUCAUGCAAGUCGAACGGCAGCACAGUAAGAGCUUGCUCUUACGGGUGGCGAGUGGCGGACGGGUGAGGAAUACAUCGGAAUCUACUUUUUCGUGGGGGAUAACGUAGGGAAACUUACGCUAAUACCGCAUACGACCUACGGGUGAAAGCAGGGGAUCUUCGGACCUUGCGCGAUUGAAUGAGCCGAUGUCGGAUUAGCUAGUUGGCGGGGUAAAGGCCCACCAAGGCGACGAUCCGUAGCUGGUCUGAGAGGAUGAUCAGCCAUACUGGAACUGAGACACGGUCCAGACUCCUACGGGAGGCAGCAGUGGGGAAUAUUGGACAAUGGGCGCAAGCCUGAUCCAGCCAUACCGCGUGGGUGAAGAAGGCCUUCGGGUUGUAAAGCCCUUUUGUUGGGAAAGAAAAGCAGCAGGUUAAUACCCCGCUGUUCUGACGGUACCCAAAGAAUAAGCACCGGCUAACUUCGUG